rnacentral:rRNA from 1 species
CCUACGGGAGGCAGCAGUAGGGAAUCUUCCACAAUGGGCGAAAGCCUGAUGGAGCAACGCCGCGUGGGUGAAGCAGGUCUUCGGAUCGUAAAACCCUGUUGUUAGAGAAGAAAGUGCGUGAGAGUAACUGUUCACGUUUCGACGGUAUCUAACCAGAAAGCCACGUCUAACUACGUGCCAGCAGCCGCGGUAAUACGUAGGUGGCAAGCGUUAUCCGGAUUUAUUGGGCGUAAAGGGUACGCAGGCGGACUUUUAAGUCUGAUGUGAAAGUCUUCGGCUUAACCGGAGUAGUGCAUUGGAAACUGGGAGACUUGAGUGCAGAAGAGGAGAGUGGAACUCAAGGUGUAGCGGUGAAAUGCGUAGAUAUAUGGAAGAACACCGGUGGCGAAAGCGGCUCUCUGGUCUGUAACUGACGCUGAGGUUCGAAAGCGUGGGUAGCAAACAGGAUUAGAUACCCCGGUAGUC